rnacentral:lncRNA from 10 species
UUUCAUUUCUGCUCCCUUUCCCACUUUUAUGUGAAGGCAUCUUUUGAGUUUUUCCUCUCAAGCCUUACAGGCGACAUGUAGAGACCUUCUUCUAAUGGGAUCGUUAUUUCUGAAAUGUUCACCAUUUAUGAGGUAAUGGAGAGGGGGGCAAGAAAAAAAUGGGCAGAGUGAGUGAGAACUGCUCAAGAAUUCUGUGGAACUGCGUAGGCGUUGGCAUUAUUUGUAUGUGAAGAGGCCAAGAAAUGCACAGUUGGUUUCAAAAUAAAUACCAAAGGAAUGGUUAAUUACACAAGUCUGUUUUGCAUUUCUAGAAAAAUAGAAAUAUGUCAGUCAUUCGGAUUUCCAAUAACUAAGGCAACAUGGGUUUGGAGGCUUAUUUAUAUAUGGAGUUGCAGAUUGUAGACCUAAUGGUGUGUUCUGCUACAUACUUUUCCGUGAGUAUCUCUAUGUCCCUAAAUUCAAUUUCACUUUCUACCUUUGAGAAUAAUUUUUAGAGAUUUCCAAAAUUACAAAAUGUGAGCAUAUGAAUUAUUCUGUCAUCACCUCUUACAUCUCUCAAUUUUUAGAGAUUUCCCAAAUUACAAAAUCUGAGCAUGAAUUGUACUACCAUCACUUCUUUUUCUUUCAUGAGGUAAUAUUAUUUGAGAGACUAAUUUUAGAUGUCAACAGUUUGUCUUCCUCCGAGAGGAGUUUGGGUUUCUUUACGAUAAACAUGCAAUUAUCCCAUGAUGACUCGUAUAUAUUAAACAGCCAUUUAACUGACAUAUAAGACUCAGAAGAAUGGUAAAGUUGGAAGAGGCACUAAAAUUCAUUUAGAACAGCCCAAUCUUGUCAUUUUACAAACGCAGAAGCAAAGCCACAAAUUGAUUACGUUUGUCCCGAGUUCUACAACCAGUCAGUGGCAGAAUCAGACAUUUCAGUAGCUUUAGCGUGAUGUUACAUUUCAAUUUAUGAAAGAUGGAAAUUUAAUUUUAUAAUUAUGCAAGGUUUACAGCAACAUAGCAUGUAUGUUGACAACUGGUAGGAAAUGGACAUUUAUGAAUUAUGAAUGUUUCUAUUAUGAAGGGCAAUUAUUACCUUAAGUAGUAGCUGGUAAUGAACACUGAAUGCCUACUAUGUGCUUUACAUACACCACCUCAUUUCAAGUCCCCAAUAAAGCCAUAAAGUUGAUAUUACAAUCUAUAAAGUAUAAGGUCAGUACUUCAUAUGUGAAGAAACAGAGGCUUAGAGAGAUUAUACACAACCUGCUAAGGCCACACAGCUAGUAUGUACAGCUGGGCAUAGAGCCAGGCCCUUGUUCUUUUUCCCAGGAUGCAAUCUGCACUGCCUGUGGGUGUCAACACAGAAAGUUGGUGGAAUCUGGUUUAUUCCUAUACAAUGUUAGAUGUGGAACUUAAACAUAUAUGUGGAAGUUAUGCUCUUGCCCUUUCUAAACAAGUGUAAGUUUUAAUUGAGGCAAGGAACAACUUCACUAGUAUAAUUCUUGGCAAAGAAAGGAGUUCUGAGCCUGAGAUUUACUAUUUUGUGGUGCAGUAAGUUGGAUGUCUUGAAACAAGAGGUUUGGAGAAAGAUUAUUUGCGUCAUGACUUAUUAAAGUGGAAAUAUUUAUAAAUCAAAGAAUUGGGUUAUAUGGUCUCAUAAUGAAGAAGCAGAAUGUAAGGUACACCUUACCAGAUGCAAUUUAAUUUAUGACUUACAUUUGAACCUCUAAGUCAUUAAAUAUAGUCUUCAAUUUUAAGACCGAGGUUGGCAUGUCCAGAAGAGAAUAACUAUGAAAUGCACACAUCGUUUUCUCAAUUUUCAUUAGACUUGCAUAUGAAAAAAAUCACAAGCAUUAUUUAUGAAGUUUGAAGUGAUUUCUGCAUACUUUGAUCUUUUAUAUUUUGACAUUCAUGACCUUAGUGAAGACAGGACAGUAAAAAUAUGAUUAGGCUAAUUGUCAGAUCAAGGACUCUGAUUAAUGAAAAUAAAUGGAAGAGGUUGAUUAUUUUUUUCUUCCUCUGCCCCCCUUUACCCUGGAAAGAAUAUCCUAGAAACCACAUUAAACUGCACUUCCCCUGAGCACAUCCUUCCUAACUAGGCUAGUCGUGAAACUGGAGUGCAAGGCCAGGUGGAGGAAUGGGGUUGACUCAAUGGCAAUCCAAGGCUGACAGCUGUGCUAAUGGAUGACUUAGGCAAGAAAUACAGUGAUUGACUCAUGAAAUGAAAAGCAGGACUGGUCUCACGGACAGCUGGGAUUCAGACUUCAGAAAGCCUCCAUCAGGACUUAGCUUCUUUCCAGCCCUUUGCCCUUUCUGCUGUGUUGGCCUUAGUCUUGUGCUUCACAGUGGCAGGAUGGCUUUGGCAGCUCCAUCCUCAUGUCCUCUCCCCUCCACAUCCCACCUCUCUGAAGUCUCAGCAAAAGUCUCAUGAUUUAUUGGCUUUGGUCAGGUCAGGUGUCCAUUGCUGAAAACCAAUUCCCAUGGCUGGUUCUCCACAGAAAAAAAUAAAAUAUGACAAAAAUGAGGGUAAACGUAAAAAACAGAAAACAAACAAAAAAAACUGUCCUAUGUCAGAGCCAAAAAAUCAUAAUGAAGUGGAAGCUGCAAAAGCAAGAGAAAGGCAUGAGUUACAGAGAGAAGCAGAAGUUGGAGAUGAGGAAAAGGGGAGGAUGGGGGAGAGC